GAUGAACGCUGACAGAAUGCUUAACACAUGCAAGUCAACUUGAAUUUGGGUUUUUUAACUUCGAUUUGGGUGGCGGACGGGUGAGUAACGCGUAAAGAACUUGCCUCACAGCUAGGGACAACAUUUGGAAACGAAUGCUAAUACCUGAUAUUAUGAUUAUAAGGCAUCUUAGAAUUAUGAAAGCUAUAUGCGCUGUGAGAGAGCUUUGCGUCCCAUUAGCUAGUUGGAGAGGUAACGGCUCACCAAGGCGAUGAUGGGUAGCCGGCCUGAGAGGGUGACCGGCCACAAGGGGACUGAGGCACGGCACUUACUCGUACGGGAGGCAGCAGUGGGGAAUAUUGGACAAUGGACCAAGAGUCUGAUCCAGAAAUUCUGUGUGCACGAUGACGUUUCUCGGAAUGUAAAGUGAUUUCAGUUGGGAAGAAAAAAAUGACGGUACCAACAGAAGAAGUGACGGCUAAAUACGUG
rnacentral:rRNA from 1 species